UCCCUUGUGGCUCAGAUGGUAAAGAAUCUGCCUGCAAUGCAGACGACCUGGGUUCGAUUCCCCCUAGAGAA
rnacentral:tRNA from 1 species